UACGAAGGGGGCUAGCGUUGCUCGGAAUCACUGGGCGUAAAGGGUGCGUAGGCGGGUCUUUAAGUCAGGGGUGAAAUCCUGGAGCUCAACUCCAGAACUGCCUUUGAUACUGAAGAUCUUGAGUUCGGGAGAGGUGAGUGGAGCUGCGAGUGUAGAGGUGAAAUUCGUAGAUAUUCGCAAGAACACCAGUGGCGAAGGCGGCUCACUGGCCCGAUACUGACGCUGAGGUGCGAAAGCGUGGGGAGCAAACAGG
rnacentral:rRNA from 1 species